rnacentral:tRNA from 1 species
GAAUAUGAAGCGAUCAAUUGCAAUUAGUUUCGACCUAAUCCUAGAUAUAGUUUAUCCUUAUUCU